UGGAGGAUGACCCCUCCCAUCUUGGCUAGAGCAACAUUCUCUCUUUCCAGCAGAAGACAAUGAUACUUUUAUGGUAGGAGAUGAGGCAGGUAGAAAUAGGGGUUCAAUUGUUUAAGAAGAAUGAGGAUAAUCCAAUCAUUACACAAGAUAUUUUUAACUCUCAUCGCUCUUCCAUCCAUUCUCUGCCACAUCAAGGAAUAAAUUUUUUGGGAUCUUGGAGGGGGAAUGAGAUGAAAUUUUCACCUUCAUUUGCCUUCAAUUCCAUUACUAAAAGUCUCGCCCAAACAAGUUUGAAUCUCGUUUCCUAAGCUUUUCCAUUUAUUUUACCCUCUUCAUCUUCCAAACAUAGCCCAAACUUUUCAUUGUUCUUUGGAGAAUUAAAAGGCUUUUUCGCAGAAUGGCCUAAGAAAACCUUUUCUGUGAAACAAGAUUUAUCGCACAUAACUAUCUUACAUAUCUUAUUGGCUUUUGUAUUUUAAAAUGUUGGAUCUAAUAUUAUAGUGUUAGGUCUUAUAUUGUUUUCUUUUCGAAAAUUCAACGACCCUUAUUUAUAGAAUAAGUGGUAACCGGUGUUAAGAAUAUCGUGUGCAUUUUCGGAAGGUGAAUUUGGAAUGCAGGAGUUGUACUGCAUCUUGAUGCUAUCACACUCUUUUGGUUCAACUUAGUUCACUUUUAUUCCUGUAGGUCAAUCACCUUAGCUGCUCCUCCUGGAAACUUUCCGGAUUUUAAGAUGUUAACUCUAUUUGGCUGCGGAGCUCUACUUCUAAGGGGAGCUGGAUGUACUAUAAAUGAUCUUCUAGAUCGGGAUAUAGAUACAAUGGUAAGUUUGAAUAUUUACUGACCUUAUGUUAAAAUGCACUGUUUUACUCUCUGAUAUCGUCUCCUUAUACACUGGAACAUAAUGAAUGAUAAUGGAAAUUUAACCAUUCUGCUUAGUUUUUGGUGAUCCGAUGCUGUAUUAUAGUUGCUCAGUUUACAGUCUGCACACCAAAAACAGAAUGGCUCAAAAAAGUGUGGUCAACAUCACAUAAUCUUUUAUUGACAUUUAAACAUGUUCAGCACCACAUUUUUUGGUGGCACUCAAGAAAUGUCUUUAUUGGCAUUUAAGCAUGGUUGAGACCACUUUACUAGCUUUUUGGGCUACUAAGAUAUUGUUUAGCAUAUGAGAAAUGUGGUUUUACUCGUAUUCUUGAAAAUUAUUC
rnacentral:lncRNA from 1 species